rnacentral:lncRNA from 1 species
ACUCAAAAUAGGUGGUAUUUUUCUUUCUUUUUCUUAUUUAUGAUAAUAUUUCUCACUACUAAAGAAAGAUGCUUGGUCAAACAGAUGUCUUUUUUUCCUUUGGGCUCUUUCAAUCUGUGUUGUUACUUCAACACAUACCCCGAAAGGUUAGGCGUAUAUUCUGCUUUUAAGAUUUUUAAAUAAAUCUUUAAUUUGAAAGCUGUCAUGAAUAUGAUACAACCAAUGCAAAUCUGUUCUGGAGGGAGGAGCCAGCUGCUCUGCCAUUCUGUUCAGUCUCUGCUCCUACACCUGAGUUCAACUGGAGGCAAUUAAAACUGAAUGUAUCUCUCUCUCUCUCUCUCUCUUUUUUUUUUUUCCUGGGAACCUCCAUAUGUCUCUGGUGGGGCCCAAGAAAAAGACAAAAAGACAAAAAAAAAGAAAAAAAAAGGAAUAUAAUUCAUUCACAAUACCAUGUUAGUUUUAGGUGUAAAGCACAGUGAUUCAGUUAUAAUAUAUAUUAUUUUCCAGAAUCUUUUUCCUUAUGGGUUAUUACAAAAUAUUGAUCAUAAUUCCCUGUGCCAUGCUCAUGAAUUUUUAAAUCAAGUGACUGAGACAAAACUGGUAUUUUGGGCAAGAGCUUCAAUUAUCUGAACAAUAUCCUUCCUUCUUUGCUCCACAAACUUAAAUUUUAAAAAAUAUUCUUGAGUAUGUUAGAUUUCUUAUAUUUUAGCUUUAGGUACAUCUAUUUUGAGAUAAAUGUGCUCUAUUUCAUUUAAAAUUACAUCCAAAAGAGUGGGAUCAAUUUGACCAAGUCAUCCUUUCAUUAUUGGCUUUCCUUUGAGGGCAUGUUUUGUGUGAUGUCCUACUUUAAUUCACAAACCAAACUCAACUGAGAGUUGAAAACUUGGGGAAACACAAAACUUAAAUGCCUCUGACAAAAGGAAAGAGGGUUUUAAGAGAAGUAGGCGAGGCAUAAGUUAUCAUGAGGGCUGCGGGUAACUCUAUAGUGUAAGUAGCCAUUGACCUGUCCACUGAGUUACUGAAACCUCUCCCAGAGCUCCAGGAAGGAAAAUAAAGUGUUAGUAGAAGUUUCCUGUAAUCCUUCCUCAUCAUGACAUAGGAUCCCUUGGGAAAUCUGCUGCUGUUUUAAGAUUUCUCUACUUGCAUGUGGGGCGGUGGUUACUUCCCAAUGUCAUAUUUCAGGCCCCUUGGCAAGUAAUCCAACUCACUUUUAGUUGCCAUCUUCAAUAGCAGGUCUUUUCAAGUUGCCAGAUCUCUUCCAUUCUAGCUUUACUUUAAGGUGGGCUCAUUAAACUGUCCAUGUAAAUAUUAAAUUUAGCUGCCUGAAGCAGUUUCUUCAAAAGCCCAAAUAAUUAUAGAUUGCUUUAUUUAAGUGAAAUCAAACAAUGAUGAAUUAGAUUUUGGGGAAAUUACAUUUCAAUGUUUAAUAGCUUUAUUUUAUUUUAUUUUUCUUUUUUUUUUUAUUUUGUGGCUGCACCCAUGGCAUGCAGAAUUAGCAGGUUGGGGAUUGAACCUGUGCCAUAGCAGUAACCAGAGCCACAAUUGUGACAAUGUGGGAUCCUUAGCCCACUGAGCCACCAGAGAACUCCUUUAGCAGAUUUAUGGAAGUAUAAUUUAUAUACCAUAAACAUAAGCCUUCUCAUUCAAUGAUUCUAAUAGAUUUAUAGAGGUUAUAUGCCAUCACUAUUGUCACAAUCCAACUUUAAAUCAUUUCUGUCACUCUGAGGCUUUCCCUCUUGCCCAUUUUCAGUUAAUCCUCACUCCUGCCUCCCCAGCCCCAGACAAUCACUGAUCUACUUUCUGGAUCUAUGAGUUUGUCUUUUCUAUAAUUUUAUAUAAAUUAUAAGUGAUAUAAAUCAUAGAAUGUAUGAUCUAUUUCUUCUUUCUUAUUUCACUUAGCAUAAUGUUUUUGAGGUUCACCCAUAUUAUAGCAUAUGUUAGCAUUUUAUUCCUUUUAAUUGGUGAAUGAUAUUUUUGUAUUUUAAUUUUUAACUGGGUAUUUGGCAUACACUAAAUUAAGGGACAUAACUUUGACUUUAGUAUUAGCAAUAUAUGUUAAGUCUUUAAAGAGAAGCAAGGUAAGUACUUCCCUUACACUGAGGGAACAUAAAUAUCAAUUCCCUGGUGUUGGGCAGUCCAAGAUUCAGGUGCUGGCAGCUUCUGUGUCUGGCGAGAACUUGCUUCCUGGUUUUAUCUUUUUACUGUGCCUUCACAUGGUGGAGGGGCUAAGGUGCUCAGUAGGGUCUUUUUUAUUGGACCACUAAUCCCAUUCAUGAGAGUUAGGUCCUCAUGACCUAAUCAUCUCCCCAAACCCCUCUGCCAUCCUCAUCAGAUUGGGGAUUAGCUUUCAGCCUAUAAAUUGGGUAGGGGGGAGCACUUAGUCCAUAGUAAUUAUUUUAUUACUAUGUUCCAUAACUUACAUAUGUACUGCAUAAGUUCCUUUUGUGUGGAUCAAAUAUUAUAUAAUUAUAUCAUUGUAUGAUAGAAACCAUGAACGAACCCAGAUAUACCCUAUAAAGUUUUAUGAAGUCAUUAACGUAUGUCUUCUCAAAUUAUUUGAAAACAUUUUUAUUUCUAAGAAAGCUAUUCUUUGAUAGUAUUGAAUAUUCCAAAUGUUAGCCUUCAGAAGAAAAACUACUACCCACUCUUCAUCAGUAUGCCAGGAAAAACUGCCUGUUGAAAUUGAUAACUUCAGUAAGUCCAAACAAUAUGUUACCGACUGAAUAUCUUUGGAGUUCAUUGCCUUUGGGAUUGAUUAUCCUGUUCUCUUUCUCAUUCACCUUUUGGGACUUUUCACUACUCAUUAAGCACCUCCAUUAAACAGGAGGGAAGGGAAAGGAAAGGAGAGAAGGUGAAAUUCAAACCAUCCAACGUUAUUUCAGUGUUGGUUAGCAAGCUUGCUGGUAAGAGCUAAAGCACAGACACUGCAAUUAAUGAGCAUACUUAAUUUUUUUGAUUAUGUGUAAAAUUCACUUUAAGAUGUGCUUUCUUACAUUAUUUAGAUAGAAUCCUAAAUAAAAAUAAGCUUUUGGAUGGGUUCUAUGUCAAGUGACAGAAAACUCAUGAUUUAAGCAAAGCAAAAUUUAUUGGCCCUUCUAGGUGAAAAGUCCAAGGAUAUAGCUGAUUCAGUAUUGAAAGUUAGUGCAUAAAUUCAUCAUUAGAACUUACCUCAUGUUUAUAUUCUGCCUUCUGCUAGGCUGCAAAUGAAUUGCUUCCUGAAGGUCCAGUUACAUGCCCUCCUAUGUAUAAUCUCAG